rnacentral:rRNA from 1 species
GAUGUACGCUAGCGGCAGGCCUAACACAUGCAAGUCAGGGGUAACAUAGGAAAGCUUGCUUUUCUGAUGACGACCGGCGCACGGGUGCGUAACGCGUAUACAACCUACCUUUUAGCGGGGAAUAGCCCAGGGAAACUUGGAUUAAUGCCCCAUAGUAUAUAGACUUCUCCUGAAGUUUAUAUUAAACAUUUAUGGCUAUUAGAUGGGUAUGCGUCCUAUUAGUUAGUUGGUAAGGUAACGGCUUACCAAGGCAGCGAUAGGUAGGGGUCCUGAGAGGGAGAUCCCCACACUGGUACUGAGACACGGACCAGACUCCUACGGGAGGCAGCAGUGAGGAAUAUUGGACAAUGGGCGAGAGCCUGAUCCAGCCAUGCCGCGUGCAGGAAGACUGCCCUAUGGGUUGUAAACUGUCUUUUACAGAGGAAGAACCACCCCCACGUGUGGGGGUUUGACGGUACUCUGCGAAUAAGGAUCGGCUAACUCCGUG